CCAUCGUGAAAAAGAGCUACAAAAACGUGUUUUUGGUAGAGAUUUGAGUGGGGAGAAAAAACGUGUAAAAUCUUUUAAAAGGCAAGACAAAAACAUCUUGUUUGUGUUGAAAACAAAAGGUGUGUACUUUCAUGUGUCUUGGUGCGGCUGCUCCACCAGGGGGCAGCAGAGAUUCGACAUGAACUUUGAAGAAAAGGCCACACCUUUAGCUAGCGGCAACAAGAAUGUGAAGACACAAAAUGGCUUCCCCUGACCGUCACUAGCGAGCCCGUCUACGCGAGGCGCUUCAGGAGAGAAACCUGUACGGACACAAAGUGCUUCAGGGGUGAGACGCUCGUGACCAGCGUUAAAGUGCGGACUUCAGUGGCUCUCGAUCACCACGGGCUCGUAGCCCCCCGCCGAGACCCUGGGGAGGACGGCGCACGUCAGUCGGCGCCAAGUUUUCAAAGCGGAGAGGCCAACUCACCUGUUCCCCAGCCGGAUGGCGCUGAGCGCGGUGCUGCCGUCUCUGUUGACGAACAGACGCAGGUUGCUGUCUGCACGGACACACAGGACCACGAGGGCCCCAAGCAGGGUGACCACAUAGGUGUCCACACAGAUGCCUGACGGCGUGAAUGAUGGGAAAGAAACCUGAGAUUCUGCUGUGCUGGCUGGCGUAGCUGGAGUUCCUGGAGUGGCCCGACUGGAAGACUUCUCCCGGACUGCAGGGGUUCCCUUCAGGGUCUUCCAGGAGACCUGAGGACAGCAAAAGUAGAAACAAGGUUCAACACGGCGGACCUUCAGAAUGUUCCAGUGGGUCUUGGUUGGAUUCCGAAAAAAACUCUGACAUGUAAAUAUUGCACAUGUUGUUGAAAAAGGUCAAAGAAAUAAAUGAUAGCGGGGCGUUACCCGAGCUGACGACGGAGGGUCGAGGUUUGGGGGUCCGGCCCAGGGAAAUCCCUCCGGCCGGCCCGGGUUGGGCGGUCCCCUCCCCCUUGCAGUCCAGCUGCAGGGUGUGCUCGCGUCCCGGGAUGGAGAUGGACUUGGCGGUGCUGGGAGGACUGUGGGUGGGCGGGUUUACACACACGUUUAGCGAGCAAAACAUUCCCGCUCGGCUAAAGGUCGGAGGUCACGGGGAGGCUGAUUUGAGGCUGGGGGAGGAAAAAAGAAAGAAGAACUCACGUUUUGAAGCAGGGGUCUCCUGACAGGAGGGUCAUCCCGAUGAUAACCUGCAGGGACAAAAACAUGUUACACAAACACGUCAGCGUGGAAACUACCCGCGGUGUGUGUGCGUGUGUGUGCCUUCCUGCUUCCUGCUUCCUGGGCCUCCUUCCUGCACUGGAACUCUUCAACGAGUACUUAGUUCCUGGAACACUUACUGCAAAUGUAAACGUUGGCCCCUCCCCUUUCUGCCACAAGACGGCGACUGUUGACGUUUUGGGUACAACAUGACCGUGUGUACGCCA